rnacentral:rRNA from 1 species
UGGGGAAUUUUGGACAAUGGGCGAAAGCCUGAUCCAGCAAUGCCGCGUGUGUGAAGAAGGCCUUCGGGUUGUAAAGCACUUUUGUCCGGAAAGAAAUCCUUGGCUCUAAUACAGUCGGGGGAUGACGGUACCGGAAGAAUAAGCACCGGCUAACUACGUGCCAGCAGCCGCGGUAAUACGUAGGGUGCAAGCGUUAAUCGGAAUUACUGGGCGUAAAGCGUGCGCAGGCGGUUUGCUAAGACCGAUGUGAAAUCCCGGGCUCAACCUGGGAACUGCAUUGGUGACUGGCAGGCUAGAGUAUGGCAGAGGGGGGUAGAAUUCCACGUGUAGCAGUGAAAUGCGUAGAGAUGUGGAGGAAUACCGAUGGCGAAGGCAGCCCCCUGGGCCAAUACUGACGCUCAUGCACGAAAGCGUGGGGAGCAAAACAGGAUUAGAUACCCUGGUAGUCCACGCCCUAAAACGAUGUCAACUAGUUGUUGGGGAUUCAUUUCCUUAGUAACGUAGCUAACGCGUGAAGUUGACCGCCUGGGGAGUACGGUCGCAAGAUUAAAACUCAAAUGAAUUGACGGGGUCAUAGCUGUUU